rnacentral:lncRNA from 1 species
GAGCACUGCAGGUGUCUGGAGAUGCCAGGAAAUGAGGUCUUGGGGGGAGUUCAUCCAUCAGGGUAGGGGAGCCCAAGCAGCACAAUUCCAGGCGUUGGGCAAAGAAGGAGAUCAGAGUUGUCCAUGAAGCUGUAGGAAGGCAAGCAGCACAGAUGUGGCUGACAGGGGCCUAAUUUCCCUGCUUCCAGAGCACAGCAGGGGGGCUCAAAGCAGGGAGAUGUGUGGUCAGAACCAGCUAAGCUGUGGAACGUGCUCAGUGUGUGAUCACAGCAACCACGCGGGAGACCUAGAUCUCUGUCCUCCACUGGCCACUGACAGUUAGUGCUAUUCUGGAUGAGCUGCUUCAGAAAGUGAGGCCUUUAGAGUCUUGGGCAACAGGUUUAAACUUCCUGCUCAGCUAGCUACCAGCUGUGUGACCUUGAGGACUUGACCAGACUCCGGUCUAUUGGUUCAUAAAGAUUGGGUUAUUGUUGGGGUGAAUAGAUAACGCAAGUUGUUUCCUCCAUCAAACUGCUGUGGCAUUAAGAGGACCAGUGGCAUGGGCCAGUGGCAGUGGGCAGCCAAGGGACUCCUGACUGCGGCAUGUGCAGCAAUCUCAGGAAGGGGGCUGAGCUCUGGGCCCCUUGUCCUGCAGGGCUCUGGGCAGAAGGAGGCUUCUGGAAGGUGGAGGGAUGGAGGAGAAGUGAGCCAGCUCAGUGGGCGCGCCCUUGACCCAGUUCAUCACCAGCCCCUCCAUGUGCUGCCCAGAGUGGCCAUUUCCAAGCUCUGGCUCCCAGCGCCCAAGGUCCUUGAAGAAUCUGAAGAGGCUGGGGUGCACCCCCCAGGGACCCAGGAGACAUGGGCUGUUGAGGGGAGGUGAUGGCAGCCUGGGGAGGAGGAAGAGCUCUGUGUUGGGGAUGAGAAACCUGUUCAUUUCUAAGACUGGCUCUGAGGGUUGGUUCUGGAUUCACUGAGGGAAGGAGGUGAGUAUGGUGGCCCCUGGGCUCCCUGGGGUCAUCUGCCUGCCAUCCCCAGGGAUGCCUUUGGCAUAGUUAGAGGUUCAGGUAGGAUUUUGUUUUGGGGUAAAAAUAGCUCUGCUGUAAAGACAGUAAUGUCCCCAGUGUCACUCUGCCCCACACCAGCCACACUUAUUGGCCCUGGGAUGGGAGCCGGACCCAAGCCAGGACAACCGGAGACUCCUCAGGAGGAUGGAACUGGCCCCAGGAGACCCCAGCUCAUUUUGCAGAAAUAUAAACUUGAAGGAGGUCCAGGGGCCACGCCAAUGCAGAGAGAGUCCAGUAGAGGGGUAAAGGGACCCUGGGUCCCCCAAAUCCCCAGGUCCCAGGCUGCCAUCCCAGAGCCCGCCAUCCCUGCCCUUGGACUCUUAGAAACUCUAGGAUGGUUUUCUUGCCCUAAGUUCCCCUUUUUGUGUAAAGCCAGCUAGAAAUGGUUAUUUGCAAAAGACCUAGAUCAUACACAGAUCUUCCCAGAAUUUCUCUUCCUCUAGAAAAUCUGGCCUGAGCUCUAAGACCCCAGGGUCUGCAGAAAAGUUGAUCUCACAGCACAUGCAUCCUACACGCAGUGAGCAUGAGAGCUGGGACUGUAGUUCUACCUUGAAAUUGAAUGUCCUUCCCAACUCUCUUCACUUGACUCCACAUCUCAGAAAGGCCCUUGUGAAUCCCCCUAGAAGGCCAUGGCAGUCCAGCCUUUAAAUUCUGCCAGAACUACUGGUG